GGCAUUGGACCAUGGCAUAGGCAUUGAGAACCAUCAUUGGUGUGGCAAUCCUUGAAAUAGUGAUCAUAUCUCACUUGUAAACUAAAGAUUUCUAAUGUAAGGCAUGUGUGGUUGUUUGGGGUACUUAUGCAUCUAAUUACUACACACCUAUAAACAUAAGCAUCAAUGCACCUAACCUAUUUACUUACCCAGACAUCUAAUCAAUGCAUCUUGUUGGUGACCAUUCUCCUCUCAGGUAAACAUUUAAUCAUGUGUUAAUUAGACUGAGUAGAUCCAAGGGGGAUAGGGGUUAAUGUGUUAAUAAUCACCUAACCUAGACCUUGAAUCUACACCCUCUAACCUUCUAAAUCAUCGACCCAUAACCCAUAACCCUUCUAAAUAUGCAAUGUGAUUUAUUCCCAUUACUUUGCAUGUCAAAGUGAAGAAAUUCAACCAAGCGCGAGUAAACAACAAGAGUAACUAUGACUCUUAAUAUAUCCAAAUGCCUUGUCAUAUAAUUAGUGAUGCGCAUGAAUGGAUCAUUAACGAGAUUCCCCACUAUCCCUAGAUACUAUAUUCUAGAGAAAUCGCAUCCAAGGGAAUGGGCUUGGCAGAAUUAGCGGGGAAAGAAGACCCUGUUGAUCUUGACUCUAGUCCUAACCCAUUCAUAGUUUGGGAAAAUUAGGGCAUAGUUUGGGAAAACUAGACCAUAACAUUUUUCUUUGGGAGU
rnacentral:ncRNA from 1 species